CUCUUGCACUAUGGGCUAUUUGUGGCUCUCAGCCAAGCAUGCAGCACUUAAAACUGACCCAGUAGUCUGCAAAUACCAUUCAAAGAGCUAAUGGCAGACUUUAAUUGCUGUUAAGUACUAAUGAUUAGUGCAAGGCACAAAUAUACAAAAUGCAAAUAAUGACAAUGCAACUAAAGCAAUGUAAAGCCUGCAGCAGAAUUCCUCUCUGACUCAGCCAAUUUGUUCAGGCCAAUUCCUAACUUUUAGGUGGCAAUGCAACAUUUUACCUCUUUUCACUGAAGAUUUUUGAACUGUGAUGGUCCAUCCUUUCAAUUGAUCAUGUACCUCUUUAGGCUAUAAGAUUUAUGCUCCUUCUGAAACACACAAUUUAGUGCAUCUAUAUCUGAGACCGGAUUUAUGUGUAAUUCUAAUUAUUAAAAAAUUUGAUCUUCACCUCAAGAGACUCAAGAGAUGAAUGGUGAUUUGAGUGAAUGUCUACCUGUACAUGCCACUGUGUUUUGCAUAGUAUAUAAUCUUUCUUUAGCAGGAAAUAGGAUAUAUGCAUUCUUGUUUCUAAAGUGUGUUUACAUGUGUUUUUCCUUGCUGAAGAGAAAAGUGUAGGCUCGUAUGCCAGAGGAUUUACGGUAAGUGUCCCUCUAGAGUGCUGAAGAGACUGUGGGAUGCAGUGAAUGAGGGAGAGAGUGCAGAGAUGCUGCAGAACCACUUCUGCCCUUGUUUUGUCUCAUCCGCUUAUAGAGGCACUAAGUGCAUUUCCUCUGUCUCCUCUCCUGCAGCUCUUCUUUGGGGGAGGAAUGCACUUACACUUUUAUCUCAAAUUUAAUUUAUGUGCAUAAUUUAUUGGAUGCUGAUAUUCUGCAGGAGUGCCUGGACUGGAACGUGGGACUGUGAACAUAGAUCAGUUGUACUGAAGCUCUGAAUGUGAGUUAAACGACCUACAGUAGUCUCUACUAGCUCCAACUCAGCGUUUGAUUCUAGCUGUCUAUCAUGCUGAAGAAGAGGAACCCUGAGGUGCUGAUGGACCAGGAGGUUCUGCUGGAUCUGAACUACAGCGGUGAGACUCAUGGUCCAGACAGUUAUGGAAGCCUGCAAAAUGGGGGCUUCAUCCCUCCCAGAUAUUUGACCACUGCAGCUAAUGAUGAGGGUGAUGACCCCAUAUAUGUUUAUUGUGAGCGGACCUCAAGCCCACCUGGUCAGCCCCCAGGCAACUACUUCAGAGACGGCCAAACAAAAAUAGGUAAGGGUUUGAAGAAAGUGCUCUAA
ensembl:lncRNA